UCACUGGACUCUUUAGAGUCCAUCACAUACAUAAUAACUGGGUUUGU
rfam:Tupaia chinensis contig57408, whole genome shotgun sequence.